rnacentral:lncRNA from 1 species
ACAAAUUUUACUAGAGUAUCUUGUUUUAAAUUAGGGGCUGAAAACACCAUUAAUAGUAUUAUUCUUGUAUACGUUUAAUAUAUGUUGGCAUGCAAGAUGCUUAUAGCUUCAAUCAAAUGUUUUCCUCCCAUAACUCUUGUAAAUGAAUUAAAUUUAGUACAUGGAAAUCAACACAAACAUACCUCUCUCAAUUCACCGUGGGGUUUUAUUCUAGAGCGAUGUACACUUCGGAACUUGAAUUUCAUCAUUCAUCUCAAUUAAAACUGAAGAUACAAGUUGACGGAUAAGGCUUUUAGUAUUUCACUUUAAAACUACUAUAUUUAGGAAGGAAAAAUUAUUGGUGUACAUAAAACAUGUAAAUAGGGUUGUUCGGAUCUGAGUCUGUAACGUCCCAAAUUUCAUCGACUUAAAUUUGAGGUGUUACCGAUAUCAUUUCAUACAUCAAGUGGAAACAUAAAUUGGAACUUUAAAACUCCUAAUUUAUUUAAUACUCAAGGCUAAAUCAAAAAAAAUUAUUGUCAUGAAACAUGAAACUUAAAAUGAAAAUUAAUGGAAACAAAAGAUGUCCAAGAAGAAUUAUUUUUAAAUGUUUUCUCGAAAAUUUCUUUACUUGGCAACUCGCGCACUGCUCAGCCACCAUCCACGUUGACUUAUCUAACCUGAAAUGUUAAAAUUGAAGGAAUGAGUAAUUUAUGCUCAGUAGGAUACGUGCGUCCAAACAAUAUAAUAACUUUUAAAACAUGAAUUUACAACAUUUCAAACCAUCAUUCCAUCAAGAGCAAUCGGUGAUCAAUCGAAUACUCUAACAUAUUUGAGAUGACUCGAAGGAGAUCUCACAUUUCAUUUCAUAAAGACCCGCAGGUCAAUUAGCAUUUCAUGAAAUAAAUCACAUAAAAAAAAUUAUAAUAUUGCAAGGAUGAAUCACUUGCACAUAGUAUCCUACCUUGUUAGAUCAAUGAAUUUUUGAAAGAAUAAUACAAGAGAAUAUUUCAAUUUCCAGACUUCUGCAGUUUCCUUGAACAUAAUUAAAGAUGGAGAAUGACUUUUUGCUUUUAAAAUAUUUGCCAACAAUUUGACUUUUGCACAAUAUUUAUAGUAAAAAAAGAGUCUUGGUGCCUUUGAAACUGAGAAAUCGUGUAUGUGCGUGGAAUAGAUGGACUUUAAAAGUAAGGAAGCUACUGAAUUUAAAGAACAUAACUAAAGUUAAA